rnacentral:rRNA from 1 species
GAUGAACGCUAGCUACAGGCUUAACACAUGCAAGUCGAGGGGUAACGAGAUGAAAGCUUGCUUUCCUUGUCGACGACCGGCGCACGGGUGAGUAACGCGUAUCCAACCUGCCCCCAACUAGGGAAUAACCUUGCGAAAGUAAGACUAAUACCCUAUAAUUUCCUCAGAUGUCAUCUGACGAGGAAUAAAGAUUUAUCGGUUGUGGAUGGGGAUGCGUCUGAUUAGCUUGUUGGCGGGGUAACGGCCCACCAAGGCAACGAUCAGUAGGGGUUCUGAGAGGCAGGUCCCCCACAUUGGAACUGAGACACAGUCCAAACUCCUACGGGAGGCAGCAGUGAUGAAUAUUGGUCAAUGGGCGGAAGCCUGAACCAGCCAAAUAGCGUGCAGGAUGACGGCCCUAUGGGUUGUAAACUGCUUUUAUACAGGAAUAAAGUUAGCCACGUGUGGUUAUUUGUAGGUACUGUAUGAAUAAGGACCGGCUAAUUCCGUGCCAGCAGCCGCCGUAA